AAGGGACACCAGAGGAACUGUGGCUGGACCUGGUCAAGUCACUCAAACUCGCACGACAAGGAUGGACAGACUCGCGCAUCUCUCCAUAGACGACCGCGAGUUAAUGUCGAGGCAAAUUAUGCAGGCAAUCUCAGGAAUGUUGUGUUCGCAGAGAUGAUGAACUCUGAGUGCAUGUCGGGCCGGGACUACCAGGGAUGGGUAGAUUUCGGACGUCGAAGCGCAGAGUUCUAUCGUCGCUGAAAUUGGAGGAACCAAUAAUUUCUUAUUUUAUGGAUAUAUAGUAUCUUCACAUUUUGAUUAUUUGCAACUGUAGCUAUGUAGAUUACUUUGUGUCUUUUCUCAAUUACAAAAUAAACAUGCAUAGCUUCUAACAACUGCAAACCUAUUAUUUUUUUUAGAUUUAAGGUUGUCGAUAUUCAGCAGAAAAGCCAGUUUGGUCUGUGUGCACUUUGAGCUAUUAAAAAGUUCAGAUUUAAGCAGGUCAAAAUCUGACCAGUCUGGGCACUAAAUUGUUAAGAAGAAUAUCUGAAUGGUUCUUUCAAGGUGAGAAAAGACAAUACGAAUUAUGUUACAACUUCUGUCGAAGAACUUCUAAGAAUAGAGUUUAACAGACAAGCACAAGCACCUUAGGUCUGAUGGAAAUACAAUGCACAUUUUAAUCCACAGGUAGUACAAUAGAUACACACAUUCACACACACAUAUAUAGAACAGUGAUUAUUAAAUAGACUUCAGCAGACAAUAAUCAUUUUUCUACAUCUCAGAUGUAAAUUACUGUUGGUGAUUAUUUUGUCUCUGUACACAUUUUCUUCAUUUGCUAUGAUUUUUCCCUUUUUAAUAUGCAGUAUCCUAUGCCAUGUUUUUGUUGCAUUUGAUUGUCCAGGCAGCCUAAGAAAAGCCUCAUAAAACAAUUGGAUAAUUUGUUUUUUUCAAAUUUAUCUUUAGUGACACAUUUAUUUACAUAAGGUAUCCCCCUCGGCACAAUUCUAUAACUUUGAGAGAAUUCACUUAGAAUGCCUAGAUCUGAAAUAUUUUCCUCCCCUUCUAUACGGUCCACUAUCGAAAUGCCAUGAUAACUUGAUUAAAAUAUUGGUACCAGCAACAUUUUAUGGGUAAAUUCAUUACACAUCUUAUUAAUCCCAUCUUGUUUGUUGGCUUUGAUACAGCAUGGAAGACAACCUGAAUGCUUUUGAGCGAGGUUUGACUAAUACGCACAGUCACAAUGAUCGACAGCAUUUGGAUGUAAAGCAUUUCACGGUGGCUUGCAGUGAGUGAUGAGCGAAGCCAUGCCAAUGCAGUUCAGUGAGCUACGCGAGUGCAGUGCAAGACUUGAGGAUUCAGUGAUGAGUGAUACAGGUGACGUCACAAAUCCUCCUGUACAGCUUCAGUGUAUCAUGUCGGCCAUUUUGAGGCAGAUAGUGAUUGGAGUGCGAGAACUUUUCACACCGUCAGGUGAAUGGUGGUUAGGCUACAUGCUUCAUUCACUGAUAGCAGCUAAUAAGCAGAAAUACUUUUCUGUGCAGUUUUUCUUUUCUAUGAAAGUGACAGA